rnacentral:ncRNA from 1 species
GGCCAUUGAGGCAUGAUAGUUCAGGGAAUUCGGCCAAUUAGAGCUGUAACUUCGGGAUAAAGCUUGGCUCUGAUGAAAAUCAGAACCGAUUGUUACGCGGAGAGCCCAACUGUUUAAUAAAAACGUAGUGUCGCGCUGUGGUAGUAUAGCCAGUGAACGCGACAUGAAUCCUGCUCAGUGCUGUGUCUGUUAAUAUGGUUCAAGCCAACGAAGCACCGGUAAAUAGCUGGGGUAACUAUGACUCUUAUCAAAGUAGCGAAAUACCUCGUCACUUAAUUAGUGACCUGCAUGAACGGAGCUAUGAGGUUCUCACUGUCCCAAACUGUCUCUCAGCGAACCAACUGUAGUGGGAACGGUCACUAGAUAUCCAGCGGGGAAAGAAGACCCUGUAGAGCUUCACUUUGGUCUAGUCUUGUAUAGUUCCUGCGGGGGUGUAGACUAGGUGGGAGAGCAAUCGAUUAUGAAAAACCACUACCCUGUUUGGAAUUAUGCUUACCUAUCACAAGGAAUAGGACUAGAUAGAAAGUUU